rnacentral:rRNA from 1 species
UACGAAGGGUGCAAGCGUUACUCGGAAUUACUGGGCGUAAAGCGUGCGUAGGUGGUGAGUUAAGGCUGAUGUGAAAUCCCCGGGCUCAACCUGGGAAUGGCAUUGGAUACUGGCUCGCUAGAGUGCGGUAGAGGGUGGUGGAAUUCCCGGUGUAGCAGUGAAAUGCGUAGAGAUCGGGAGGAACAUCUGUGGCGAAGGCGGCCACCUGGACCAACACUGACACUGAGGCACGAAAGCGUGGGGAGCAAACAGG